rnacentral:rRNA from 1 species
UACGUAGGGUGCGAGCGUUAAUCGGAAUUACUGGGCGUAAAGCGUGCGCAGGCGGUUUUGUAAGACAGGCGUGAAAUCCCCGGGCUCAACCUGGGAACUGCAUUUGUGACUGCGAGGCUAGAGUAUGGCAGAGGGGGGUGGAAUUCCACGUGUAGCAGUGAAAUGCGUAGAGAUGUGGAGGAACACCAAUGGCGAAGGCAGCCCCCUGGGCCAAUACUGACGCUCAUGCACGAAAGCGUGGGGAGCAAACAGG